rnacentral:rRNA from 1 species
GAUUAACGCUGGCGGCAUGCCUAAUACAUGCAAGUCGAACGAAAGUAGCAAUACUUUAGUGGCGAACGGGUGAGUAACACGUAUCUAACCUACCAUUUAGUGGGGAAUAACUGUUGGAAACGACAGCUAAUACCGCAUAUGUUAUUUAUUUGCAAUGAUAAAUAAUGAAAGGAGCAUUUGCUUCGCUAAUUGAUGGGGAUGCGGCGCAUUAACUAGUUGGUAAGGUAAUGGCUUACCAAGGUAACRAUGCGUAGCCGAUCUGAGAGGAUGAACGGCCACAUUGGGACUGAGACACGRCCCAAACUUCUACGGAAGGCAGCAGUAGGGAAUUUUUCACAAUGGGCGAAAGCCUGAUGGAGCAAUGCCGCGUGACUGAUGAAGGUCUUCGGAUUGUAAAGGUCUGUUGUAAGGGAAGAAGUGCUAGAAUAGGAAAUGAUUUUAGUAUCGA